rnacentral:ncRNA from 1 species
AAAGUUUUAUUGUGGCUUAAAAGUUUAGUAAAUGGAAAUUUCACAUGCAAAUUUUUGUUUGAAAAUUAGUUGAGCAGUGAAUAAAUUUAAUGAUUAAGGGGACUUAGAAUUAGAUAUUUAUUAGAGCAUAGACAAAUCUUGUGCCAGCAGUUGCGGUUAGACAUGAUAUGCUUCUAAAUUUGGCUCGGUUGAUAAUAAUCUUUACUAUUUAAAAUUAACUUGCUUAUAUAAGGUGAAAUUUUAUAAGUGAAUAAAUUUGUUUUGAAGAAAUAUUAUUAGAUUUUUAUAGUAGACUAGGAUUAGAUACCCUAUUAUUGGGAAUGUAAAUUUUAACUCCGGAGAAGUAUUAGAAUUCUUGAAAUUUAAAAAAUUUGGCGGUGUUUUAGUCUGUUCAGAGGAACCUGUCCUGUAAUUGAUAAUCCACGAUUAAUUGAACUUAUUUUUUUAGUUUGUAUAUCGUCGUUAUUUGAAUAUCUUUAAAGGGGUAAAUAUUCAAUAUUUUGGAUUUAAAUCUAAAUCAGAUCAAGGUGCAGCUUACAAAUAAGUAGAGAUGGGUUACAAUGAAUAAAUUUAUAUGGUUUGGGUAAUGAGAUUUUUCCAAUAAAUAGGAUUUGAUAGUAAAAUGAAUAAUUUAAUUUUUUUGAUUUUAGCUCUAGAAUAUGCACAUAUCGCCCGUCGCUCCUACUAUAAAGUAGGAUAAGUCGUAACAUAGUAGGUGUACCGGAAGGUGUACCUGGAAAGA